GAGGGUAUAGCUCAAGUAGUAGAGUGCGUGCCUCGCGUGCAUGAGGUCCUGGGUUCAAUUGCCAGUACUUCCU
rnacentral:tRNA from 1 species